rnacentral:lncRNA from 1 species
AGAGUAAGUGAUUUCCUGUUCUUGGUCACUGCUAGAUUUAUUUCUUCUCUUGGUCUCCUUUUUCCUUGUUUCUUAAAGAACUAACUCAAAGGCCUAAAUAGUAGUAUAUUUAUGUAAAUAGAUGUUAAACAAGGACAUUUUCAAUGGAAUAACUGUAAGCACGAUUAAGAUCAAAUUUUUACAUGAUUGUGUAGUCUUGGAUUACACCAAUUAAGUUUUCUUCCUACUAAAUGUUUACAGUUUUCAUCUGAAAAUUACAUUUCAGAUAUAAAGAUGGGCAGAGUAAGGAUAUCAAGUGGACCUCAACAAAGCUGUGUGACAAAGGAUUUGUAUAUAAAUAUGAUGCCAAAAUGAUAUUGGAUGAUUGUAUCAGAUAUGCAAGAAAGAUGGGUGAAAUCUAGUGUCCAUCUACACCCUCUUUGCAUCUGCUUGUAACAUGUGGAUGUCUCUUUUUUCCCUAUCUUCAAUACUUUUGUUUUUGUCUUGUUGAUUAAAAAAAACUCAGUUCUAAAUUAAUUGAAAUAGUACUACAUUAAUUAGAAAAUAAGGACUGUGAUCAUUACUACACAGUAUCCCUGUUUACAGAAUAUUUUGUUCUAUUUAUUUAUUUACUAAGCAUUUCCCUGUAGUAUAUCAUGUUCAUUUGGUGUUUCAAUCAGUAUUGUAAUGGUUACAAGUUUUAUUACCUAUAUGUUGUUUUUUGAGUUUCCAAAAAAGAUAUCAUAUCUAGCAUUGUUUAGUUUUUUUCUAAUUUAAAGAGUUUAUGCUCUUCAUAUGGACCACUCAAACAUCUUAGUUGGUCCUUCACAUAUAUACAGGAGAGUGGUAAAGGGAUGCCUUUUUGUUGUGUAGGAAACAGUGUGGGGCCAAAUUGAUCAAUCUUUAGGAGAAAUGAUCAUUGACUAUUGAUUACACAAUUCUAGAAAUAUACCUGAACCAUGACCAGGAUUUACGAUUUAGCAAAAUAGGAGUAUCUCUGAAUUGGACUGAAAUUUAAAUCCAAUUCAAUUAAGCAUAAUAAACAAAUGGUAAGAUGCGUAAUGAACAUAAUUUAAAUGGUUUAAAAUAUAUUAUAAGUAUCUCAUCUACAGAUUCGGAGAUAGUUGACAAAUAUAAAUUUGGUUUAUUUACAUUUAAAAUAAGUGUGUUUCAAAUAAGACAUUUUUUUUAAAAUUAUUUAAUAUAUGUAUAAUUUUCUUCUAAUAAAACAGAGAAUUGGCUAUUUUCAAAAUAAACAUAGUAGACAAAUGCAUUAAAAAACAUAAAUUUAUUUUAUUAAAAAAUAUAAAUAAAUAAACCGGUCCGUAUAAAAUUACAAAAACUAACAUGUUUAUGUGUCAUUUUUAUACAAUUUUGUUUACUAUUUUAAUGUAAAAUUUAUAGAUAAAUUAUUUUAAUUAUAUAUUUUUGUUAUUUCAGUUAAUAUAUUUUGAUUGAACUAUUAUGUUAUAAAUUAUAAUAUUUUGAACUAUAAUAUUAAAAUAAUAUAAAUAGUGUAAUAGUUAGAAUAGUAUAUUAUAUUUUUUUUAAACAAUAAUAUUAAAAAUAUAUUUUCUUAUCUAUAACCAUCUGUAAUUUUAAAUAUAACCUAAAAUAAUAAAAUAUAUAUUGAAAGAAUAAUCAUUGUUAAAAUAAACUUAUAAUUUAUUCAUAAAAAAUCUUUUCAUUGGUAUAAUAGGUUUCUAUCUUGUUUGUUCUUAUAAUUCUUUAUGAAUAGGUAUAGUUUACUUUUGUAUCGUUUUUGUUAACAUAUGAGUUUUGGUCUAUUCUUCCCAUAUUUUUGUAUUUUUUUUAAUAAUAUUUGUUAUGUAAUGAGUAAUGAUUGUUGUUACUUGAGUUGUCAAAGUAAUUGAGAUUUUAAGUUGCAUAAUAAUAUAUAACAUAUUUUUAUUUAAAAAUAAAAAUAAACUUUGUAAUAUAAAAAUCAUUAAAAAUACUAGAAAGAAAAAAGUAAAUACCUAUUUUAAGAAGAGGAAAAAAAAGAGAAAAAAUAAUACAACCCUGAGUUAUGAAAAAUAGAAUAUGAAAAGGAAAUUUAAUGAAUACAUUUUAAAAUAAAAGAGAAAUAAUAUGUAAGAAAUUGAAAGUUAGCAUUUUAAAUUAAGAAAUGUUACUUGAGUUAAGAUAGUGGUGCUGUUUCAAACUAAACCCAUGUGACUUUGAUCCUGCAGUUUAAGAACACAAUCAUUUCUUUAUAUCUUAGCUUAUUAUUAUACUUUUAAAUUAUCUUACAGCAUUACAACUUGUGUGAAUACAAGUCAAUGUAUUUGUUUUAUAUUUUAAUCUUAGUUUUACUAUCUGCUUUGGAGGUCGACACUGGUGCAAAUAUUUUAUUUUAACUUGUACACAUUUUCUAGCAGUUUUAAAUAUACUUUGUUUUUUUUCUUUUGUUUUUAACUGUCAUGUCUGAAACAAUGCCGAAUUAAUUUAUUUAAUUUAUUUCAUUACAAGAAAUCCACAUAAUAUCUCACGUUUCUUAUUUCAACGUCACUUAUGUAUUUUUACUAUUAUAAUAUAUAUAUAUAUAUAUAUAUUAAAAAUGAAACUUAAAUACAUAUAUAUCCUUGUAAAAUUAUUACCAAUUACUGUAUAUUAGUAAAUAAAUUCUUAUCAUUAUACUAAUAUAUUUAUAUAUCUUUUGGCAGAGACUUUUAUCAAACUAGCACAUGCCACGAGAUCUCCAGAAUCUUCCUAUUCGAUAAGACUUUUAAGCAAAAACAAGUAUUUAAACCUAAACCUAUCCAAAUAGUGAAAUACCACCUUUAAAUCUUUAAUCAUGAUUAAAUAUUUUUUUAUUGUAUCAUUAUGAAAUUAUUUUUUUAUCAUUGGUCGACCAUUUAGUUAUUUAUAGUAUGAAAAUAAUUAAAAUUAGUUCUUAAAUAGAAUAAAUUUUAGUUUUUUUUCAAAAAUAAUAUUUUUAUAAAAAAAAAUCUUUUUGAAGUCGUUAUACUUCUUGAAGCUUUUGCAGGGCUUUUGCUCAAUGUUAAAGAUCCCUACCCUCAUCUUGCGGGGCUCCCCUUGCCCUUUCUUGGUUGGUAAAUCAACCAGCCGGAUUUCAUUAAUAAAGGGAUAAAAUUUGGUGGUUCUAAUUAUAAUUUUAAUAGGAAAACAAAAAACAUGUGUCUAUUAUAAUUAGUUUUGAUGUACUGAUGAAGUGAAAACUAAAAUGGAAUCAAUUCUACAUAUAAAAAACUUAUUUUAAUUAUUUUUAUAUUAUAAAUAUCAAAAUAAUCUAAAAUUUGAUAAGUAACUAAAGUUAAUUUAAUGUUAUAAAGUUUAAUCCUUAAAUCAUUAACUCCUUGCUGCACACAAGUUGUUUUUCUAUAGCUUCUAACUAUUAAUAAACGGAGAAACGAGAAAUAUAUUAUAAAAUUUUUAUUAAUAUUUUUGAAGGAUACAAUUGAAAUUUGAAAAUUUAUGUUGAUAUUAGAAGUUUGACACACACUUUUAAGAGUGAGUGGAAAUAAAAAAUCUUAGUAUUCUCUAAAAAGUAAAUUAAAAAUUGUACUCUCAUAGCCACGUUGAUCAGAAUACCGAAUCAUAUGACUACUCGUUCAUGAUAGGAAAAAGAUCACAUGAUCGAUCAAGCUCAUGAUGACGAGACAUGGUGACCAAGUCAACAGGGCUAACCCAGAUUAAUGGUUGUUUAACGCAACCCUAAACACGAACCAACCUCUUAAUCUGGCCCACUAACAAAGACUCAUUAAGGUAAUAUAAAUAACGCGAAUUUCAAGAAUGAGGUACAUCAUUAUCUAACUAACAACCGAGUGUUGACACCUUGAAACUUGAUCGUCGGAGUGCUCUAAGCCUGUACUACCAGAUGGCCGAGAAAAGAAAGGUGAAGCAGGAAGCCGAGUGCGAAAACGACCGACCGAGUGGAAACAAAAUAAUCGUUCUUUAUGUCCCAACAAUCGUUCAAGAAUAAAUAUUUAAUAAAUUAAAGCGUAUGUGCUAAAAUAUAUAUUACCGAACCGAUACUGUUGGUGCAGUGGAGGCCAGCCACUGAACUACAGAAGGCAUGGAAAAGUACUUGUAAUGGCUCCGGCCAUGUCUAUUAUUUAUGCAUAUAUCUGUGUCGUUCUGGUUUGUUAAUUUCUUUUAUAAUUAUUACAUUCCAAGACUUUAAAAUGGGAAUGGUGAUGGAAUAAAAAUUGUUUUAACAUUGCGUGUACCGCUGUUUUACUCUUACUAAAAAAAUGAUAGGCGGCUUCUUCUAAGAGAUUAAUCAAGGACGAACACACUAUGAAAAUUUAGUUCUAAACAUCACUUUAUUAUAUAAUAAAUUAAAUAGAUUCAUGCAUUUUUACUGAAAUCUGCAAGAGGGUACCAAUUCAAAAUAUAACAGUCCACUCGUGUUUGAAGAGUGUUUUGGCAGUAUUUGUGAGCCAGGAAAUCCACUUUAUAAACCACUCCAACUUCAGUUCAAGUUGUAACUGUUUGUAGUGUAUACUUAUCUGUGUAAAGAGAAUAAAAAUGGGGGAAGGGAGCAAGGUAUGUGUCACAGGAGGCAGUGGUUACAUAGGUUCCUGGCUCGUCAAGAAGUUACUGGCCAAGGGUUACAUUGUUCAUGCAACUGUCAGAGACUUGAGUUAGUAUUCUCUCUCUUUCUCUUUCUGCACACUAUGUAUGUUCUCUUGUGAAUUUUGAUUCGUAUUUUGGAACAUAAUCAACAGAGAACGAGUCCAAGGUAGGGCUCUUAAAGAGCCUUCCUCAUGCAGAAGCCAAUCUGGUUCUGUUUGAAGCUGAUAUUUACAAUCCAACUCAAUUUGAUCCUGCAAUUCAAGGAUGUGAGUUUGUGUUUCAUGUUGCUACUCCCCUCGCCCAUGAACCAGAUUCACCUCAGGUUCGCCUGUCUAACUCUAUACAUAACUAAAUCUGUUUAAAACAUGGCAUAAGAGUCUUGACAGAUUAUAGUUUUAACAUGUUAAUAGUAUAUAUGAGUGAUGUGAUGAUGUAUAAUGCAUACAUCGCAGUACAAGGAUACUUCAGAAGCAGCAGUUGCAGGGGCAAAAAGUAUUGUGAUGUCUUGUGUGAGAUCAGGGACGGUGAAACGUCUGAUCUACACUGUGUCUGUUGUUUCAGCCUCUCCACUGAAAGAAGAUGGGAGUGACUUCAAAGAUGUGAUGGAUGAAACUAGCUGGACCCCUCUCAAUGAUUCCUUGGAAUACGUUUACCUUGAUCCUAUGUACAAGGUUAGUUGUCAGCUUUAAAUUCUUCAAUUUGUUUCAAAGAAAGCAUUCGGAUUUUUGCUACUCCUUGCUGUGUCAUUUGCACUUCUUUUUGUUGUCUGGGUUAUAAUAGGUAAGUAAAGAAACAAGACAUGUGAUAGAAACAAAGAUAUAAACAUUUAUGAUACAGAUGAAUUGAAAAAGGUAGAAGAUUUUUUUUCCAUUCGUUUUAACCAAUGUAAAAGAGGAUAAGAUAAACAAAAUUAUAUAAAUAAAUGAAAUAGAAAACAGAAAAAGUAAAUAAAACAAGAAAAAGGUGCUAGUAACGGUCAUAGGCAAUGUGAUUUAUUGUUGGAGAUGUCAAAACUCUUACUAAUAUGGCUGAGACUUAAUCAAAGGAACUUUCUAACUUUUUUCUAAGUUUCUCAAGAGAAACUCGAGAGGCAGUCACCUCCAAAAAAAACAUCCCUCGGUGGAGAACGUAAAACAAGAGUAUUCCUAUUUUUAAGACUUAGAAGAAAAAGACAUGCAAAAAUGCAACAUCCAUUCUUAUUGGAAUUCAAAGUACAAAAGUGAAUGAAAAUUUCAUCUUUUAUUUUUUUGUAAUGUUUAGUUAGGUUUAAAGUCUUAUUCUUAUGAUGAUAUUAAAGUUUAUCCUAAUGAGACCUUGUACCUAUCGUGUCACUUGAUAUCGAAUCACCCAUAAAUAUCUAGUCUCACACAUUAAUCGCUUGGAGUGAGGGAGUAUUUUGAAGAUCUCACGACAAUUAGAUAUAAAGUCAAUUCAUAAUAUAUAAGUGAGUUCAAAUCUUAUUUUACAAACCAGUUGGUUUUAUAAGAUUAAAGUCCACUACUUAAGAUGGUAUGAGAGUCAUUUAAAUCAUAUCCUAGUAAAAGUUUGUUGAUGAAAUAAUAAAUUUAACUUAGGAGUUAGGAUACAAGUCAUCCAAAUUCAUUAUUGAUAUUAAGUCUCAUGUACUACAAAUCAAUCUUCGGAAUUUCAUCGGUUGAUUUUCUUACAUCAUUGAGAUUGUUUAUUGCUAUUGUUCAUAUACAAGAAUGAAAUAUGAUACAGAGGUGCAAAUGUCCAAAUGUUGACUUUAUUGUAUUGGCCUUAUAUUUCAAGGACUAUACUUAUUCAAAGACACUGUCUGAGAAACAUCUGUUGAGCUAUGGGAAUGAUGAAAAUGGUGGAGGAUUGGAGGUGGUAACACUUGUUUGUGGACUAGUGGGAGGUGACUGCCUUGUACCGUCUACACUCGGUAGCAGAAUAGUUUGUAUUGCACAGAUCGUGCAAAAUGAAAUAUCCUACAAAUCACUCAAGUUCCUAGAUGGAUUGCUGGGUAAAGUACCUCUUGUACACAUUGAUGACGUCUGUGAAGCUCAUAUUUUCUGCAUGGAAAGCACUUCCAUCAGUGGAAGAUUCUUGUGUGCAAGUUCUUACAUUUCAUUACAAGAGAUGGCUAACCAUUAUGCUCUUUAUCAUCCAGAAUUCACCGUCAAACAAGAGUAAGUGAUUUGAUUUCCUGUUCUUAGUUACUGCUAGGUUUAUUUCUUCUCUUGGUCUCUUUUGUUUGUUUCUUAAAGACUAACUCAAAGGCCUAAAUAGUAGUAUCUUUUAUGCAAAUAGAUGUUAAAUAAGGACAUUUUCAAUGGAAUAACUUUAAGCACGAUUAAGAUCACAUUUUUACAUGAUUUUAUAGUCUUGGAUUACACCAAUUAAGUUUUCUUCCUACUAGUUGUUUACAGUUUUCGUCUGAAAAUUACAUUUCAGAUAUAAAGAUGGGCAAAGGAAGGAUAUCAAGUGGACCUCAACAAAGCUGUGUGACAAAGGAUUUGUAUACAAAUAUGAUGCCAAG